CUUAGAAAUGUUAACGUACAUAACAACCGUACUAGGAAUCAAGUUUAGUUUUGUCCCAAAGGUGCAGCCACGAAACAAAGUUUACAUGAUAGAGAGAAGCAUUAUGUCGGGAAAAAUAAAAGAAACAUCAUUGGUUAAUACAUAAAUACUAAUGUAAGAUGAAAGCAAAUGACAUAAAAUAGUUCAUUGCAUGAGUAGGUCCGAAUUGACGAUGGAAAAAACU
rnacentral:lncRNA from 1 species